GUAGAAUACCCGGGUAUUUGUUGUAUAGUAUUGGUUGUAGAGUCCAGCUUUCCAAAUAUUUGGCUAGAAUUGGUUGAAUCAGCAUCAUCUGUUAUCACCGUGGUGAUGGUGUUGGUAUUUGUCUUUGUCUUUUGUCUUUGCUUUUUAUUUUGUUUGUUUUUUCCAUGAAACAUUUUUACACCGUUUAUGAUGUGUAUAGAUUGGAUACUCUCCGAUAUUCUUUUACGGAAUAAAUUAAUUGACAUAAUUUCCAAGACAUUGUCUUAAGUGACAUGGAUCCCAUUAUAGUAAAUUUUAUGUUGAU